CAAAUGGGCCUGGAGUUCGAAUUCCUCGACUUCUCCCAGCCUCAGAGCAGGUGCAACACAGCCCAUAGCCUACAACCCUCCCUUCAAAGGAUUCAUUAAUAUUGUUCAACUCUGAUCUGGCUAGAUCAGCUCUGGGGACAAAAGGGGAAUGGAGUCUCCAUGGCCAAUUCACUCCUUGGCCUCC
rnacentral:sRNA from 1 species